rnacentral:rRNA from 1 species
CGACCUGCUAAAUAGUUGAUCGAACUCUUCGGGGUUCGUGUUGACUUCUUAGAGGGACUUUUGGACGAGUAGCCAAAGGAAGUUCGAGGCAAUAACAGGUCUGUGAUGCCCUUAGAUGUUCUGGGCCGCACGCGCGCUACACUGAUCGGUUCAUCGAGUUUACAACCUUGACUGAUAAGUCUGGGUAAUCUUGUAAAGCCGAUCGUGCUGGGGAUAGAUCAUUGCAAUUAUUGAUCUUCAACGAGGAAUUCCUAGUAAACGCGAGUCAUCCACUCGCAUUGAUUACGUCCCUGCCCUUUGUACACACCGCCCGUCGCU